UACGUAGGGGCCGAGCGUUGUCCGGAAUUACUGGGCGUAAAGCGCGCGCAGGCGGCUAUCCAAGUCAGUGGUGAAAGCCCGGAGCUCAACUCCGGAACUGCCAUUGAAACUGUUUAGCUUGAGGACGAGAGAGGUGAGUGGAAUUCCCAGUGUAGAGGUGAAAUUCGUAGAUAUUGGGAAGAACACCGGUGGCGAAGGCGGCUCACUGGCUCGUAUCUGACGCUCAGGCGCGACAGCGUGGGGAUCAAACAGG
rnacentral:rRNA from 1 species